rnacentral:rRNA from 1 species
GCCCCAAACAAGUUACAGAACAGUCACUUAUUUAUGUUUCCGCCCGAAGUACUACAGGCGCUAGCUUAAAACCCAAAGGACUAGGCGGUGUCCCAAACCCACCUAGAGGAGCCUGUUCUGUAACCGAUAAUCCCCGUUAAACCCUCACCACUUCUGGCCAUCCCCGUCUAUAUACCGCCGUCGUCAGCUCACCCUAUGAAGGUUAAAAAGUAAGCAAAAAGAACCAACUCCCAUACGUCAGGUCGAGGUGUAGCAAAUGAAGUGGAUAGAAAUGGGCUACAUUUUCUAUAAAGAAAACACGAAUGGUAGACUGAAAAAUUACCUAAAGGUGGAUUUAGCAGUAAGAAAAGAUUAGAGAAUUUCUCUGAAACCGGCUCUGGGACGCGCACACACCCCCCAAAACCAACAUCUGCAAAACAAAAGCCCCCCCGCCGUCUUUUUUUUUUUGGGGGGGGGGGGAACGACGGGGGGGGGGGGGGGUUGCAAAAAAAAAAAACACACCUCCCCCCGGGG